rnacentral:rRNA from 1 species
AUACAUGCAAGUCGAGGGGCAGCACAGUAUAGCAAUAUAUGGGUGGCGACCGGCAAACGGGUGCGGAACACGUACACAACCUUCCGAUAAGAGGGGGAUAGCCCAGAGAAAUUUGGAUUAAUACCCCGUAAGAUAAAGUUCAGGCAUCUGGAUUUUAUGAUAGGCGUGAGCCGCUUAUUGAUGGGUGUGCGUCUGAUUAGGUAGUUGGCGGGGUAAAGGCCCACCAAGCCUACGAUCAGUAGCUGAUGUGAGAGCAUGAUCAGCCACACGGGCACUGAGACACGGGCCCGACUCCUACGGGAGGCAGCAGUAAGGAAUAUUGGACAAUGGACGGAAGUCUGAUCCAGCCAUGCCGCGUGAAGGAUGAAUGCCCUCUGGGUUGUAAACUUCUUUUAUAGGGGAAGAAAGAUACUUUUUUUAAGGUAGUUGACGGUACCCUAUGAAUAAGCACCGGCUAACUCCGUGCCAGCAGCCGCGGUAAUACGGAGGGUGCAAGCGUUAUCCGGAUUUACUGGGUUUAAAGGGUGCGUAGGCGGGCAUGUAAGUCAGUGGUGAAAUACCGGAGCUUAACUUCGGAACUGCCAUUGAUACUAUAUGUCUUGAAUAUUGUGGAGGUAAGCGGAAUAUGUCAUGUAGCGGUGAAAUGCAUAGAUAUGACAUAGAACACCGAUUGCGGAGGCAGCCUGCUACGCAAAUAUUGACGCUGAGGCACGAAAGCGUGGGGAGCAAACAGGAUUAGAUACCCUGGUAGUCCACGCCCUAAACGAUGAUUACUCGACACUAGCGAUAAACAGUUAGUGUCUGAGCGAAAGCAUUAAGUAAUCACCCUGGGAAGUACGACCGCAAGGUUGAAACUCAAGGAUUUGGGCGGG